UACGGAGGGGGCGAGCGUUAUUCGGAAUUAUUGGGCGUAAAGGGCGCGUAGGCGGCCCUGUAAGUCAAAGGUGAAAUCCCUCGGCUCAACUGAGGAACUGCCUUUGAAACUGCAGGGCUUGAGGCCGGGAGGGGGUAGCGGAAUUCCCAAUGUAGCGGUGAAAUGCGUAGAUAUUGGGAGGAACACCAGUGGCGAAGGCGGCAUCCUGGACCGGCAUUGACGCUGAGGAGCGAAAGCCAGGGGAGCAAACGGG
rnacentral:rRNA from 1 species